rnacentral:rRNA from 1 species
GACGACGCUGGCGGCGUGCUUAACACAUGCAAGUCGAACGGAGAUAUAUAAAUAGUUUACUAUGAAUAUAUUUUAGUGGCGGACGGGUGAGUAACACGUGGGCAACCUGCCUUAGAGUGGGGGAUAACAACGAGAAAUCGUUGCUAAUACCGCAUGAAAUUAGAUUAUCGCAUGAUAGUUUAAUGAAAGGAGAAAUCCGCUAAAAGAUGGGCCCGCGCCUGAUUAGCUAGUUGGUGAGGUAAAAGCUCACCAAGGCGACGAUCAGUAGCCGAUCUGAGAGGAUGACCGGCCACACUGGAACUGAGACACGGUCCAGACUCCUACGGGAGGCAGCAGUGGGGAAUAUUGCACAAUGGGGGAAACCCUGAUGCAGCAACGCCGCGUGGAGGAAGAAGGUUUUCGGAUUGUAAACUCCUGUCUUUUGGGACGAUAAUGACGGUACCAAAAGAGGAAGCCACGGCUAACUACGUG